AAGAAAGGAGAAAAUGCCAGCCAGGCAGUGAGGGUUGGAAACCAAGGAAAGGUGUAAUAAUCCAUUUGUUAUUUGGAUGGUUGAUGGAGACAUAUGAACCUGAAAGAAAAUGGAGUGGACAGGGCUCUGGUGGCCACUGAGGCUCUUUGGGUUUAUCAAGAGGCUUGGUGAUUCCUGGAGCAUGGUGAGUAGCACCUUUGAGGCCUCUGAGAGUGGUUGUGCCAGUUCAUCCAUGAUGCAAUUCUAUGGAGGUCAAGUGAAACUAGAUCACAUAAAUGUUUGUACCUUAAUGCCUAAAGUUUAAAAACAGCGAAUUGUGUGAAGACAGCAGCAAAGGAAAGGCAAAACAUAUAACACAUGUGAAUGGACACAUCAGCUAUAUAUACAACUUGGAUAAUCAGGCCUUAACUUGCGCAGCAGAAUUCAUCAUCUUUGUGCCCCAUUAUGUUCCCAUGAUAACGGAGCCAUGAUAGGGAGACUUCUCAAAGAGGUUUAUAAAGUGUGUUAUUCAUUGAAUUAUUAAUGAAAACUAAAUCAUAUAAUGCUGAACUCUGCAAGGUGGCAAUGGAACAAGUGUAAUCUUUUUGCAUGGAAAAUAAAAGAAGAAUUGAAUUUUAAAAAUGUUUUUCUAGUACAGAAGUGCUACUGAGUAGCUGAUGCAAUACACCAUCUUCAGUGCCUUUUAUUAAAGGACUUUGUGUAUUUUACACUAUCUGGGCCCAUAACCAACCUAAUACAAGAAUCAUAUUUAUGCUCACACAUCCAUGUGAAGUAUACCUUCCUAAGGCUUGCAGCUUUUAAGCAGUUGCACUUACAAGCUUUGUGAUUUACCUUCUUUACCAAUGUAAUGUUUGAUAGGCUUGCUUCAAUGUCUGAGUUUCUCUCAUGGCAUGGUUUUGGUUACUUGUGUCUGUAAUGCAGGUAGGAGAAUGAUUCAAGGAAGAAUAACAUUUCCUAUUGCAAUGCUGAAAUAAUUUAACUAUACUGAAUCAAAGACCUUAAUAAGCACUCUGUAAUGAAAUGGGCAUCUUUCAUCUCUGCUGAAGGCAUCUGGCAUUUUCCAGGCUUGACAUAAACUCUCUCUGAAGAAAAAUGUUGGCUUUUACCCCUUCUUCAGCCUACUGUGCCCGAAGUGAGCCUAUAUAGAUUCCUUCUACAGCUGUUUCAUGAAAGUCCACUUUCUGGUUAUCAGAAACACUGUUUAAAUGCAGAAAACCUAGCCAAACUACAAUAUCAACAAGUUUUCUUUUUAUCUUUUGCAUCUUUUUUUUUCUUUUUUUUUUCUUUUAUUUUUUCUGCAAUUGGCUGCACAAAGAACACCAAGACUUCUACUUGCUAAAUAAGUAUUUUUAGCUUGACGGUUGUGCAAAAUCCUUCAAAAAUGGUUUCUAAAGCAACCAAAAUCACACACAGUUGAGUUCAGUUAAAAAAAAAAAAAAUGGAAAAAAAACCAACAUCCUGACAAGCAAAGGAACAGCACUUGAUGAUUUUUAUGGUGGCAUCAUGUUUUAUAGAUUUUGUGAUUGUAAAAUGGCUAGUUCCUUAUAAAAGGAACAAACUGGCUGAAUUUAAGGGAAUUCAGUGGAACUGGCAUAUAUUUUCAGCUGGUGCUGCAGAGGUGCCUAACCAAGGCACCCAGUCAUUGCUGUCAGAAGAGAGAUGAGACCCUUUCAGAAGGUUGACUCAGCUGGACUUUCUGUUUCGAUUUACCCGAGAGGAGUGGUGUGAGAAUGUCUCCCAUCUGAGGUGCCAAAAAUCAGACACAGUGAAUCUGCUCUGGUCUUUAGAUUUCUUUUUAAUUUGAUACAGCAAUUCCAGCGGGGACAAUACUUACCUGCAUCAGACAAUUUAUUUUACUUGCUGCACAAGUGACCAAACUGCUCGUAUUCUGACAAGAAGUUUCUGUUCUUCUCCCUUUGGAUGGGCCACUAAAUCAGUCUACCUGCUCUUAAUGACUAACUCACAAUUUAGAGGAGUCCCGGUGCUGUUUGGGAAAGUGUAAUUGAUUUCACUGACAAGGCUGAUACACCUUCUUACUGAACAAAGCUAGUUCUAACAAAAGUGGCAUGUUCAGUGCUGUAAAUUAAAGGCUUCCAUUUUCAACAGAAUCUUGAAUUUUUGGUUUAUCUCAGAGUAUGAAGGCAACCCAUCUGUAAAAGGUUAAAAUAUUUGUAUAGCAUAACAGAACGAUUCAAACUAUUCUCACCCAACUGCUGAUGCUGUUUCUUAACAUUAGUACCCACAAUCAGUAUAAAGAGAAUAGACGAAGUGCUACAGGGAAUGUUUUAAGGAGUGUGUGUCUCCUUCUGCUAUGGAAGAAUAGAAUUGAAUUUAAAAUCCUAACGUAACUUAUCUGGAAGACACUCUGCUGCCACAUUGAAGACAAAGGAGCUAUUUUCUUUAUGUCAACUGAAAAUGUUCAAAAUCUUUAAUAAGUGACAGUGGCA